AUCCACUGCUCUCAGCCGGUCUACCCUCCAUGUCCAAGUCAUACACGUGAAUGGAUAUACUGGAUAACCCUUUUUUGUUUUCAGUUAAAUACUGCUGUGGGUUGUUCUGUUAUCUCCAGUAUCGGAUCCUAAGAUUACUCAGCUCAUCUUUGGAUUCUGACAUUUUAGAAGACGCAUCAUUUCUUGGCGAUGCAAAGGAUUUAUCAAUCUUUCC